rnacentral:ncRNA from 1 species
AGAUACAUGCUAUUUCAAAGGCUGAAAUAACAGCAAGAUAAUCGGGAAGCUGGUGCGUUUUCAAGGAGAAAACAAUGCCAACACUGCCCCCGCAACGGUAAUGCGUAUGCUCAGUAUAUGCAGAGUCCGGAGACCGGCCUUGAAUUAACUUACUAU